rnacentral:rRNA from 1 species
UAACGCGUAGGUAACCUGCCUUGUAGCGGGGGAUAACUAUUGGAAACGAUAGCUAAUACCGCAUAACAAUGGAUGACACAUGUCAUUUAUUUGAAAGGGGCAAUUGCUCCACUACAAGAUGGACCUGCGUUGUAUUAGCUAGUAGGUGAGGUAACGGCUCACCUAGGCGACGAUACAUAGCCGACCUGAGAGGGUGAUCGGCCACACUGGGACUGAGACACGGCCCAGACUCCUACGGGAGGCAGCAGUAGGGAAUCUUCGGNNAUGGGGGCAACCCUGACCGAGCAACGCCGCGUGAGUGAAGAAGGUUUUCGGAUCGUAAAGCUCUGUUGUAAGUCAAGAACGAGUGUGAGAGUGGAAAGUUCACACUGUGACGGUAGCUUACCAGAAAGGGACGGCUAACUACGUGCCAGCAGCCGCGGUAAUACGUAGGUCCCGAGCGUUGUCCGGAUUUAUUGGGCGUAAAGCGAGCGCAGGCGGUUUGAUAAGUCUGAAGUUAAAGGCUGUGGCUCAACCAUAGUUCGCUUUGGAAACUGUCAAACUUGAGUGCAGAAGGGGAGAGUGGAAUUCCAUGUGUAGCGNUGAAAUGCGUAGAUAUAUGGAGGAACACCGGUGGNAAAAGCGNCUCUCUGNUCUGUAACUGACGCUGAGGCUCGAAAGCGUGGUAGCGAACAGGAUUAGAUACCCUGUAGNCCACGCCGUAAACGAUGANGGCUAGGUGU